UUCUGGGUCAUUAAAGGAAUAAAAGGCGGUAACAGGUUUCCCGUAGGGGAACUGGGGGAAGAAUCAUUUUUGAAUAAUAGUCGAGGGUGGUAGUUUUGCCUCUCUGGGGGUAAUUGUGCCGGCCCAAGUUUUUAAAUCCCCAACACCCCUGUGAACCCACGGUAGCCUUUGGGCCUUAUGUAUUUCAUCCCCAAAUUCAUAGAACGUUCAGGUUGCUUUAAAACGCAAUCAAAUCCAACUUUCACCACGGGAUUUUUUGGCUCUGGCAUGGAUGAAGAAGGCAGGGAAAUGCGAUAAGUAAUGUGAAUGGCAGAUUUUCAGUGAUUCAUGGAAUCUUUGAACCCCCCUUGCGUUCCUGGGUAUUCCGAGGACCAUCCCGGUUUGAGGGCCAUUAAAUUUUCAACCCCCCCAGAUUUGAUUUUGGGGGGAUUGGACUUGGAGCGUGCUGGGGAAGUUGGGUUCUUCUUUAAAGGCAUCAGGGGAAAGAAACUUGCCCCGGGGGGAUAA
rnacentral:misc_RNA from 1 species